rnacentral:rRNA from 1 species
AGAGUUUGAUCAUGGCUCAGAACGAACGCUGGCGGCGUGCUUAACACAUGCAAGUCGAGUGCGCGCCUGUAGCAAUACAGGUGGCGCACGGCGCACGGGUGCGUAACACGUGGGUAAUCUGCCCUCUGAUGGGGAAUAACCCGCCGAAAGGCGGGCUAAUACCGCAUAACAUUCCUUGGAUUUCGGUCCGGGGACUCAAAGGCGUAAGUCGUCGGAGGAGGAGCCCGCGCACGAUUAGCUAGUUGGUAGGGUAAUGGCCUACCAAGGCUUUGAUCGUUAGCUGGUCUGAGAGGAUGGCCAGCCACACUGGAACUGAGACACGGUCCAGACUCCUACGGGAGGCAGCAGUGGGGAAUCUUGCACAAUGGGCGAAAGCCUGAUGCAGCGACGCCGCGUGGGGGAUGAAGCAUUUCGGUGUGUAAACCCCUUUCGAUCCGGACGAAUACCUCGCAAGAGGGGUGACGGUACGGAUAUAAGAAGCCCCGGCUAACUACGUGCCAGCAGCCGCGGUAAGACGUAGGGGGCCAGCGUUGUUCGGAAUUACUGGGUGUAAAGGGUUCGUAGGCGGUGUGGCAAGUUGGGAGUGAAAUCUCUGGGCUCAACCCAGAGGCUGCUUCCAAAACUGCUGUGCUUGAGUGUGAGAGAGGCGCGUGGAAUUGCAGGUGUAGCGGUGAAAUGCGUAGAUAUCUGCAGGAACACCCGUGGCGAAAGCGGCGCGCUGGAUCACUACUGACGCUGAGGAACGAAAGCUAGGGGAGCAAACAGGAUUAGAUACCCCCGUAGUCC